CGCCUUGAGCUUUUGAUAACUAUGUUUAAAAGGAGGAAGUGAAUUCAAAUUUGAUAAGUAGCUUUUGAAUGGAAAUGCAAAGAAGUCAAAGAAGAAGUUUGAAAAGAAAAAUAUAACAAUUGGCUUAUCUAUCAAUUACUUAUUUAGUACGAAGGAAAAAAAAGUAAAAGAAAGAAGAGGAGGAGAGAAAGUAGAAGAUAGAAGGCAGAAGUAUGUCUACUGUUCGGCCAAAUCUGUGAGUUUAUGAAAUAUUUUACAAUUGAUGUUUGGUUGUGAUUAACAUAUGUAAGUCUAGUAUAUGUGGUUAAAAUUUGAAAAUUAUUGAAUGGUUAGAUUGGUUGAUUAAGAUGGUUUGGUUAUGUCUAACGUAGAGCAUCAAAUGUCCUAGUACGGAAGUGUCAUAAGUUAGUAGGGAAGGAAGGAGAAGGGGAGACUUAAAAUGAUGUGG
rnacentral:misc_RNA from 1 species